rnacentral:rRNA from 1 species
GAGCCUUGAUGUGUAGGAUAGGUGGGAGGCUUUGAAGUGUGGACGCCAGUCUGCAUGGAGCCGACCUUGAAAUACCACCCUUUAAUGUUUGAUGUUCUAACGUGGACCCGUGAUCCGGGUUGCGGACAGUGUCUGGUGGGUAGUUUGACUGGGGCGGUCUCCUCCUAAAGAGUAACGGAGGAGCACGAAGGUUGGCUAAUCCUGGUCGGACAUCA